CGGAGCGUGGCGCAGCUUGGUAGCGCACCUGCUUUGGGAGCAGGGGGUCGAAGGUUCAAAUCCUUUCGCUCCGACCA
rnacentral:tRNA from 8 species